rnacentral:rRNA from 1 species
AAAUGAAUAGACGGGGGCCCGCACAAGCGGUGGAGCAUGCGGGUUAAUGGGAUGAUACGCCAAGAACCUUACCAGGAUUUGACAUGCAGGUGUUAGCAACCUGAAAGGGAAGCGACCUGAGUAAUCAGGAGCCUGCACAGGUGGUGCAUGGUUGUCGUCAGCUCGUGCCGUGAGGUGUUGGGUUAAGUCCCGCAACGAGCGCAACCCCCGCCGUCUGUUGCCAGCGGGCGACUUUGUCGUGCCGGGCACUCAGUCGGGACUGCCGGCGCAAGCCGGAGGAAGGAGGGGACGAGGUCAAAUCUGCAUGCCCCUUAUAUCCUGGGCUGCACGCGUGCUACAAUGGCAGGGACACAGGGCAGCUAAACCGCGAGGUGGAGCUAAUCCCCCAAACCCUGUCUCAAUUCGGAUCGGAGUCUGCAACUCGACUCCGUGAAGCCGGAAUCGCUAGUAACGGUGGAUCAGCAACGCCGCCGUGAAUACGUUCCCGGGCCUUGUACACACCGCCCGU